rnacentral:rRNA from 1 species
GACGAACCGUGCGAACGUUGUUCGGAAUCACUGGGCUUAAAGGGCGCGUAGGCGGCCUUCUAAGUCGAACGUGAAAUCCCCGGGCUCAACCCGGGAACUGCGUCCGAUACUGGAAGGCUUGAAUCCGGGAGAGGGAUGCGGAAUUCCAGGUGUAGCGGUGAAAUGCGUAGAUAUCUGGAGGAACACCGGUGGCGAAGGCGGCAUCCUGGACCGGUAUUGACGCUGAGGCGCGAAAGCCAGGGGAGCAAACGGG